rnacentral:rRNA from 1 species
CUGCGUGGAAGGGCCAUCGCUCAACGGAUAAAAGCUACCCUGGGGAUAACAGGCUUAUCUCCCCCAAGAGUCCACAUCGACGGGGAGGUUUGGCACCUCGAUGUCGGCUCAUCACAUCCUGGGGCUGUAGUAGGUCCCAAGGGUUGGGCUGUUCGCCCAUUAAAGUGGUACGCGAGCUGGGUUCAGAACGUCGUGGGACAGUUCGGUCCCUAUCCGUCGCAGGCGUAGGAAAUUUGAGAAGACCUGUCCUUAGUACGAGAGGACCGGGAUGGACGUACCUCUGGUGUACCAGUUGUCCUGCCAAGGGCAUGGCUGGGUAGCUAUGUACGGAAUGGAUAAGCGCUGAAAGCAUCUAAGCGCGAAGCCAACUUCAAGAUAAGAUUUCCCACCGCAAGGGUAAGACCCCAGAAAGACUAUCUGGUUGAUAGGUCGAAGGUGUAAGUGCAGCAAUGUA